rfam:Medicago truncatula strain A17 chromosome 5, whole genome shotgun sequence.
AAGCCAUGUUUUGGACAAUUCCUCAACAAAGACUUGUAACGCUCCCAAGCUUCACAAAGUGGUUCACCAACACCUUGAUUAAACGUUGUAAGUGCAGUUUUAGCUU